rnacentral:tRNA from 1 species
UGGGCAGUAGCUCAGUGGCAGAUCUCCUGCUUCGUAUGCGGGAAAACCUGAGUUCGAUCCCCGGCUGCUUUC